rnacentral:tRNA from 1 species
GGAGAGAUGGCUCAGUGGUUAAGAGCACUGACAGCUUUUCCAGAGAAUCUGGGUUCAAUUCCCAGCACCC